UACUGUAUGUGAUAAACAGUUGAGACACGAACAAGCAGACAGUUGACUUCACUGUUGACUUCAACGGACAUUGACACAAUGGCACAGACACACACGGUCGGAGGAUACGGUCAGACAGCAGACGCCACUAAGGAAACUCAGGAUCUUUGUCAUCAGGUGAAGACCCAGGUGGAGAAAAAGACAGGA